GUUUGGGGCUUUCUGUGCUGUUCUUUAGGCUAUUUUUUUCCCCAAAGCAGAACUCAUCAAUACCUGCAUGCCACAGGAUGAUGCUCGUGGAGGACAGGAUCUGAAGUCAUCAUGAGGCAUAUGGAAGAAGCAGUACCAUCACCGUCCAGAUGAUGCUUUGUUAGAUGCUUCCCUCUCACCAGGUCCCUGCAGUGCAGUUUCUUGCCCAGGACAUUCCUGGCCAAACUGUGGGCUUGGAUGGAGGCCAAGCAGCUGAGUACGAGUCUAGAUAAGAUGGAAGGUGAUGUUGCUCAGGGGAAAACAGCUGGCUAAUGUCAUUCAGUUCAUCUUGGCUCUUCCACCUGGGUAAUUUUCCAUUUUUAUAUGAUUUCAAUAUCUGAUAUUGCAGCAUCCAGGAUUACUUUUGAAGCCUCAAAUAAUAGCUCAAAAGGUCAAGAAAGCAAUGUCAUGAUGAGAAAUGAUAUUAGAAGCAACACAUGCAUGAUCUUACGCUUGUGAGAAAACUUUGGUGUAUAUGUAUAUACAGACAACUGUAUAUUUCAGGUCACCAAAUCUUCAAAAAGACAACAUGGAUUAAAAGAAAAAAAAAAAAAGAUCCUUACAAGGACAACUAAAAUGACUAAAAGGAGAUGGCAGUUUUUAUUGUGAGAGCAGACUGAAAAGAUUACCCUCUUCAUCCUGCAAGGGGCUUGGACUGCAGCCCAUAAAUCAAGAAGCAAUGGGAAGGCUGGGGCGAACACCACUUUGUCCAUCGGAUUCCAUGGUGCGGCCGCUGAGAGUGCCACUUAAAGCUUGACAAAGCUCCUUUCAGGAUACAGAAAGACCAUCUUCAUGAGGCCGUCAUGACCCAUCAACCAAGUGAAAUCUCAGCAUUUCCCCACUGACCAGACUGAACAUCUGACUAUUACAGUAUCUCAACAAACAAAAUGCCAGAAGGCUCAACUUCUAUGAGGCCCCAUGGGAAACAUGAACAUUUAAAGUGUAAUGGACAAACAGAAGCCUGUGAGUGAGAAAAAGAACGGUGAGGGAGCUGGAAAGGAAAGAGAAUCAGGGGACUGCAGGUUUACGGAAGCUAAGAGAAGCAAGACUUUUUAGAAGUGACCAACAUGUCCAAAUGAAACAGAAAAAUCCAGUAAAAUAAAGGAUGAGGGGCUUCCCCAUGGCUGAGUGUUUGAGUUUGCAAGCUCUGCUUCGGCGGCCCAGGGUUUCGCUGGUUCCCAU